AUGGGCAGCAUAGGAAGAAAUGUAUUUAUAGUCUCCAACAAGAUGAGGGGAGGAUCGAAGGUCAGGAGGAGCUCAAAAAGUAUAUCACCAAAUACUACAAAUCUCUUUUCAGAGCGCCGACUGAAGGGAAUUUCACCCUUGAUGAGACCCGAACAGAUGAUAUUCCACAUGUCACGGCAGAAGAAAACGAUAUCCUAA
rnacentral:rRNA from 1 species